rnacentral:piRNA from 1 species
GACAUAGACGUUAGCCUGAGAAUGCGUGC